CGCCUGGCCCGUGCUCGCCAUCACCGCGGCCACGAGUCUGGGAAAGCUGUCGGGACUUUGCGUUGACACGGGGCGCGUUGUCGCUUGUGAAGCGCUGUCACAACAGCAGUGGGAGGAUCCAGAUGCCUGUCCAAAAUUGCAUAUCCUACCACGGAAUAUUCUAGUUCUGAAUAUAGCAGCGUCUGUGGAGUGAGACUGAGUAGCUGCGGCUUCAAAAGGCAGCGAUAAACAUAAAUGGGUUUUAUGAGAAGAGCAUUUCAUGGAAGAGCCUUCUGUUUCAGCUCAAACUCAGCAGUCUGCAGAGAGAAUGAAUCUCUGAAGGAACAAUGUGUGUGAACAACAGGAUUGUGAGUCCACAAACAGCAGGCAAGAUGAGACUAAGAUGUAGUUGGUUCUUUCUUGAUCUGUGGUCAAACAGAUGUAGAAGGGAUUCUGCAUUGCAGGUCAUCGGACAGGGAAGAUGGAUGAUGUCAUCAGCUUCCAUUUUUUCUGGAUGAGCGAUGUGGUGUUGCUGGCAUUAAUAUGCAAGCCUUAUGCAAGAUCCCUUUCCAUGGAUCUGUUGAUCUGCAGUUGAAAAUGAAGAGCAUCAGCACUGCCACAGUCAUUCCUGAAGGAAUUCCUUGUAAUUGCGCUUUUGUCGAGUAGAUAGUGAAAGGCCCUCCAAUGAAUGAGGACUGUUUGAGAGCUUAAAGUGAAUUUGCCAGAGGGCUCUGCUCCCACAGAAGCUAAUUUCCUACAAGCAACAAAAAGCAGUGGGUGAAAGGAGGAGAGAGACUCUGCUAAUGCAGCAUGCGCUCAACGCCUACCUGUUGAGCUUGGGCUGCCAGCUGGCUGCACAGCACCAGCAUGCCAUGGAGCUCAGGAGACAUAGCACCUCCUGCCUCUGGGGCGAGAAGGAAAGAAGGACCCUGUGCCUGGAAUGUGGAGGACAAGCCACAUGGAAAACCACUGGAAAUGGUGUGGGGAGCAAGAGCUUGCAGGAAAUUGAGUGGGAGCAGUUGGCAACCCAGGCUUUGUAACCUUACUCGUAGAGCUGCAGGUCUGGGGUCAAUGGCAUGGCACUUACCUACAGGUCUAAGAGGAAUAGUUCCUCUGUAUCAGUAAUCGCACAUCAGUUGACUCAUUUCCAACAAAAUGACAGUGACUGAAUGUUUCAGGACCAUUUCUCUGUGUCACAUGCACAGGAUCCUUCCCCAUUAGUGCUAAUACAUUGAAAUCAGGAGUGAUUGAACACUAAUUACCCUUCUGUUUGCACUUUGUAGCCUAGGGGAGCACAUGCUCUGGGUCAGAUGCAAACAGCAACACUGCUGUGCAACCAUUAUAGCCCCAUCUGAAAUGACUUUGUCUCUGGAGCCCUUUAUUGUACCUCCUUUGGGGCUGUUUGGAUAUGUGAUAUUAUUUGAUAAUAGCAUUUACUCUACAGGAAUGUUGCAAAGAUUAAUUAAUUAAUUAGGGUUUUUUUGAAGUUGGGAAAACGAAAAGUGCUAUACAGAAUCACAGAAUAAAUGUUCCCAGGUAUUAUCAAGUAUUA